UGGGCGCGCGCGCGCGGACCGGGCUGGCUCGUUCCGGUUCCGUGCAGGCGAGGCGGGGCUGGUUCGGCCCAAAACGGCCGGGCCGGUCCGGUUUUCUCUCUUUUUUUCUUUUUCCCUUUUCUCAUUUCUUUGAUAUCUUUUGAUUUUGAACUCCAAAUUUCCGAUAAUGUUGGCUAGAUGGUGAAAACAUAAGAAAAUACAUGCCGAGCUAAGUUGAAAUUUCCGACAAUGUUGACUACAUAGUAAAGCAUGAAACACAUCAAAA
rnacentral:lncRNA from 1 species